GAGUUUGAUCGUGGCUCAGAACGAACGGUGGCGGCGUGGAUAAGACAUGCAAGUCGAACGGGACUUCAUUUGUAGCAAUACAGGUGAAGUUCAGUGGCGCAAGGGUGCGUAACACGUGGGCAAUCUGCCCGGGGGCGCGGGAUAGCUUGGCGAAAGCCAAAUUAAUACCGCAUACGGCUAUUGAGGACAUCCUCAAGACGCUAAAGACGGCGCAAGCUGUCACUCCUGGAUGAGCCCGCGGCCUAUCAGCUAGUUGGCGGGGUAACAGCCCACCAAGGCUAUGACGGGUAGCUGGUCUGAGAGGACGACCAGCCACACUGGAACUGAGACACGGUCCAGACACCUACGGGUGGCAGCAGUCGAGAAUUUUUCUCAAUGGGGGAAACCCUGAAGGAGCGACGCCGCGUGGAGGAUGAAGGUCUUCGGAUUGUAAACUCCUGUCAUUUGGGAACAAAACUUUCAUUUAACUG
rnacentral:rRNA from 1 species